ACAUUCACAUGUUGAUAUCUACAAUUUCAGUGAUAAUACAUGGGGAGGAAGAUUUGAUAUGCCAAAAGAAAUGGCACAUUCGCAUCUAGGAAUGGUAACCGACGAAAGGUACAUAUACAUUGUCACAGGACAGUAUGGGCCACAUUGCAAAGGGCCCACUGCCCAUACAUUCGUGCUUGAUACUGAGACAAAGCAGUGGCGGGACAUGCCCCCUUUACCAGUUCCUAGGUUCGCACCAGCAACUCAACUUUGGAGAGGUAGACUACAUGUAAUGGAGAGGUAGAUCAUUGGAGUCUUGCUGUUAAAGAUGGAAAAGCAUUAGAAAAGGAAUGGAAGACUGAAACAUUCCCAGGGGUGGACCUCAUAGGUCUGUCCACUGUUUUAUUCUUGCUGCGUUUAUGUAACUAAGCAUUUCAUCAUGGGAGAUCUUGGUGGAAUUCCCGCAUAUGAAAUUGAGCACAAUUUUGCAUUCAUUGGCCUUGAAAGUGAUCACAUAAAAUUAAAUCAUAAAUUUUGAAGUUUUUUUUACCAA